rnacentral:rRNA from 1 species
UGCAAGUCGAACGUGAUCCAGGCUUCGGUCUGGUGAAAGUGGCAGACGGGUGAGUAACGCGUGGGAACCUGCCCUGUGGUAGGGAAUAACCGCGGGAAACUGCGGCUAAUACCCUAUGAGUCCUUCGGGAGAAAGAUUUAUCGCCAUAGGAGGGGCCCGCGUCGGAUUAGGUAGUUGGUGGGGUAACGGCCUACCAAGCCUUCGAUCCGUAGCUGGUCUGAGAGGAUGAUCAGCCACACUGGGACUGAGAUACGGCCCAGACUCCUACGGGAGGCAGCAGUGGGGAAUAUUGGACAAUGGGGGCAACCCUGAUCCAGCAAUGCCGCGUGGGUGAUGAAGGCCUUCGGGUUGUAAAGCCCUUUCGGCGGGGAAGAUGAUGACGGUACCCGCAGAAGAAGCCCCGGCUAACUUCGUGCCAGCAGCCGCGGUAAUACGAAGGGGGCUAGCGUUGUUCGGAAUUACUGGGCGUAAAGGGCGCGUAGGCUGUGCUGUAAGUCAGGCGUGAAAGGCCCGGGCUCAACCUGGGAAUGGCGCUUGAUACUGCGGCGCUGGAAGGCAGGAGAGGAUGGCGGAAUUCCCAGUGUAGAGGUGAAAUUCGUAGAUAUUGGGAAGAACACCGGUGGCGAAGGC